rnacentral:rRNA from 1 species
CAUACUGGGGGCCUUGAGUGCGGGAGAGGCGAGUGGAAUGGUCGGUGUAGCGGUGAAAUGCGUAGAUAUCGAUCGGAACACCCAUGGCGAAGGCAGCUCGCUGGCCUGCAACUGACGCUGAGGCGCGAAAGCCGGGGGAGCGAACAGGAUUAGAUACCCUGGUAGUCCCGGCCGUAAACGAUGAAUACUAGGUGUCAGGGGUAUCGACCCCCCUGGUGCCGCAGCUAACGCACUAAGUAUUCCGCCUGGGGAGUACGGCCGCAAGGUUGAAACUCAAAGGAAUUGACGGGGGCCCGCACAAGCGGUGGAGCAUGUGCAUUAAUUCGUCACUAACCGAAGAACCUUACCAGGGUUUGACAUCCCCGGACCGCCCGAGAGAUCGGGUCUUCCCCGCAAGGGGACCGGGUGACAGGUGUUGCAUGGUUGUCGUCAGCUCGUGUCGUGAGAUGUUGGGUUAAGUCCCGCAACGAGCGCAACCCUCACCCAAUGUUGGCAGCGUAAAGUCGGCAACUCUUUGGGAACUGCCCGUGUAAGCGGGAGGAAGGUGGGGAUGACGUCAAAUCGGCAUGGCCCUUACGCCCUGGGCUUGACACAUGCUACAAUGGCCGUUGAACAGAGCGACGCGAUGCCGCGAGGCGGAGCCAAUCGCACAAAUACGGUCUCAGUUCGGAUUGCAGGCUGCAACUCGCCUGCAUGAAGUCGGAAUCGCUAGUAACCGCAGGUCAGCUAAACUGCGGUGAAUACGUUCCCGGGCCUUGUACACACUGCCCGUCAAGUCACUUGAGUCGUCUGCAGCCGAAGGCGGUGGCCUAACCCUCGCAAGAGGGAGGGAACUGUCUAAGCUGUGGGGGGCGAGAGGGACU